UGGAAAUUGUGCAACAAAGUAGACCAUCCACACUAACCGCUAAACCUUCUAUAGGACCAAGGUGGGAUCUAAAAUGUUUUGCAAACUCAAUGCCAACAGCUUUUUUCUUCCAAAAUUUCAAAUGCCCAUCAAGACUUCCAGUAAUGAAAAAAUCUGCUGCAGACACUGCAACAUGGGUAACCACAUCUCGAUGCAUAUAACUUCUCUCAUACAUAUUUGCAGAUGGAAGGGCAUCGAGGUAAGCUUGCUCAAACUGAAGAGGACGCUUGGCUCGAGCCUUUGGAGCGGGGCCGGGUCCAAUAACGGGCUCUUCCUCGCUCUCCGGCGGUGCCGAGUUCGCAUUCGUGUUCCCGUUUCCGUUUUCGGUUCCCUCCAUUGUCGCUGAUUUCUACUUUCUAGGGUUCGGAGAGAAAGGUUGAAUUUUAAGCGGGAUUGGAAAUUUCAGCUUUGAGAUUUGGAUUCAGGCAUGCUUCUCUCCUGACCUUGUUUUUUAUGUGAGG
rnacentral:misc_RNA from 1 species